GUCUACGGCCAUACCACCCUGAACGCGCCGGAUCUCGUCUGAUCUCGGAAGCUAAGCAGGGUCGGGCCUGGUUAGUACUUGGAUGGGAGAACACGCUAGGGUGUUUGAUG
rnacentral:rRNA from 1 species